GUGCCAGCCGCCGCGGUAAUACCGGCAGCCCGAGUGAUGGCCGAUCUUAUUGGGCCUAAAGCGUCCGUAGCUGGCUGCGCAAGUCCGUCGGGAAAUCCAGUAGCCCAACUACUGGGCGUCCGGCGGAAACUACAAGGCUUGGGACCGGAAGGCUCGAGGGGUACGUCCGGGGUAGGAGUGAAAUCCCGUAAUCCCGAACGGACACCGAUGGCGAAAGCACCUCGAGAAGACGGCUUCGACAGUGAGGGACGAAAGCUCGGGUCUCAAACCGGAUUAGAAACCCGGGUAGUCC
rnacentral:rRNA from 1 species